ACAAUAACAUUCGGACCGUCGGUCUACCGAGCAAUAUCACCCGCUCGGUGGAAGAUCUUCCCUCCGUCGUUUAAG
rnacentral:pre_miRNA from 1 species